rnacentral:rRNA from 1 species
CCCAGUAAGUAAGACCCCUUAGAGAGUAUGAGGUAGAUAGGCUGGAGGUGGAAGUGCAGCAAUGUAUGCAGCUGACCAGUACUAAUCGGUCGAGGGCUUAUCCUGA